rnacentral:lncRNA from 1 species
GUUAGUUUCCUGUCUGAAAGCAUUAUUACUUUUGUCCAUGUGGCAAAAUAAUUAGCAUACAGAUGAGAAGUGGCCCCUUGCCUGGGCGCCGGUAGAGAGAGAAGAUGUGCAGUGGAAAGUUGAUUGGAUGAAUGGAGAACAAAUGGUGGGCGUUCAAAAGCAUUAGAAGAGUUUUGUAGUCGUGGAGCAGGUUGGAGAAUUUUCUGGGCCGUGGAGCAGGCUCACAGGCAAAGACACGGAAAGGUCCCAGGACUGGAAACAGGCUGAUGUGCACCUGUCUGAAAAGGGCGGGUCAUGCGGAGGCUGUAGCCAAGGACGAGGUGUGUGCGGCUGUUGCCUGGACCUUUGUCCAAUCCACGUCAACAUUUGAGGAAUCACAGCGUGUGAAAAUGAACUCAGAGGAGAAUUGGUGAAUUCCUAUCCAGUGGGCAUCUUCGAACCCUGGUGGACGGCAGAAGAAUAUCAGGUCCAGGGAUCACCCACCCAGCGCGGCGACAGUGCAGGUACCUCCGCCCAGCACGGGGCUCCUGGCGACAGUGCAGGUACCCCUGCCCAGCACGGGGCUCCUGGCGACAGAGUACAGGUACCUGUGCCCAGCACGGGGCUCCCGGGAUUGCUGCACGCAGCCCCUCCUCUGGUGCUUGUCCCAUUUGCUGCUUUGAGUAAAUACUUUCAUCUUAGCUGCCUGGUGCUUCAUGGCUUCCGGGAGGCAGUUAAAAGUUGCAUUGCGCAUCCUCUCCAAAGAGGCAAUUCCUGCCAAAAAGAGCCCUUUGCAGUUAAAUUAGAUGAGGCAUAGCUUGUCCUCACUGCUGACGUUAUAUCGGGCAGGAAUGAUGUGAGCCUCCUUUGUGGGUGCUGAGAGGAUGCCUCGGCGUGGCCAGUGGGGAGGGAAGGGUGCCCAUGACCCUCACGUGGAAAUGGCUCGUGUAGAAUCACUGCACACAGAAUCCACACUUGCAGCAGAAGGAAUUGCUUAGUAAAGCACUUGGGGUCUGAUUUGGAGGACUGGGGAGGGAUGAGAUUGGCACAUACCCAGUGGCUGCUGCCUGGCAGCACAUAUUUUUAGGGCUGGAGGUCGACAGGACUGAAAUAUGGCCCAAAUCUCAGAUCCUGCAAAGUCUCUGGUUCUGAACGAGUGAGUGGAAUGGGAACUCUGGUGUUAUCUUCUCAAUACUCACAUUUCGAAGUACUUUUAUAUAUGUCACUCUGAUGAAGAAAAGAAGAAAAUUCUGGUAAAAAUGGCAAUUUCUCAGCAUGCUCUAUAAGGAAAGCUGUGGCGUGCAUUUUAAGGUUCACUGUGCAAUUGUGAUUUAUUUGUCUGCCGACCGCCCCAUUUGCCUGUCUGAUAAUAGAACUACUUACCACUGCACAGAAAUUAGAGGCUGGGAUUGUCUUCCAUAUGCCGCAAGCUUGUGGUGCUGCAAGCUUCGAGAGCUUUAUGAACUGCUGUAAUAGGUCACAAUUGUUCUAAUCAUUUUCUCAUCUGUACCCUAUUCAUUUUCCUGAAGAAACUCACUGCACUCGUUGCUCCAGUUUUGGGAAGGCAUUAUGUUUAAUCGUACAUUUCCCCGAGGUUAAAACAACAACAACAACAAAAAGAAAAAA